GGAGAUGUCGCAGCGGAAGAAGCUUAAAACUCUAUAAACCCUAGGUUUUUGGUGUCGGAAAGGAAAAGGAAGUGAGCAAAAAGGUUUGUUCGGUAGGAAGCUGAGGUUUGACACGGAAGCAGGUUUGAUCGGCGGAGAAAUGGUUAUAAUCGAUGGAAAGGAAGGUUUCACCGAUUGGAUCAGUGAGAUGGAAGGAAAGGAUAAAAAACAUUCGGUUAAAGGGAAGGCAGUGGUGAUGAUAAGGUAGAUCUAGGCAAGAAAAAACAAAUUUACCGGUNGGAUAAAAAACAUUCGGUUAAAGGGAAGGCAGUGGUGAUGAUAAGGUAGAUCUAGGCAAGAAAAAACAAAUUUACCGGUGGAAAGACGUGAAUCAAAGGCUGAAGAUCGUUCUCUAUGUUAGAGUUGGGAGAAACCCUAGCGGAGAUGUUCUUCGAAUGAGAAAUGAUGAAUGUGGUAUGUGGCGUGAGAAAUCCGAAGAUGUAGCGUGACAAACAAGUGCUGACGCAAGCCACGCAGAAGCUUCGGAUUGGAACGAGUGGCGUGAGGGGAUUGGCUUAUGUGGAGGAGUGAGAAAAUCUGGUAAUAGAAAAUGAGAGGAAAGGCAAUGUGAUUGGAAGGUGGUUGAGGAAUCCCUUGGGUUCUUCAGCCUUGACUUUCAAGGAAUUAAGUCUGGAGUAUACUCAACAGAAAAUUAAUUCAUUAUCUGAAAAGUAAGUACAAGAAGUGUAGGCAUGGCUAUAUAUAGGACUAGAAGUCCCACAUGCCUAACACAAUACAAAGUACAUAAAAGAAAGACUACACUAAAGGCAUUGGGCUUGGGCCCCGCGUAUCAUCCCCUCCCUCUUGAAAAGGAUUUGUCCUCAAAUCUGAUGGUUCGCCUGAGGACUUAUUUUUGUAAACUCCAUAGAAGUUCCUCCUGGAUCAAAUAUUAAUCUGCAAUAAGCAUAAAACAUAUUUCUAAUUAGUUUUAUUUGAUCCAAUAAGAUAUAUAAAGGAAUAUGUCUAGAAGAAGGUUCCCUAACUUUGAACUUUUCUGACUAAAAAGAAAAUUUAUGUCUAGAAGUUUAUGACUAAAAAGAAACCUUACUCCAUUUGAAAAUUUAUUUUUGUCUUGAGUUAGUGAUAACUUGGAAGAUAUAUCUCUAACUCAAGUCUUUGAUUGCCAUGUGUUAAAGAUUGCAACUUUUGAAAAGGUUUAAUGGCAAUUCCUUGGGAAGAAAAGGUAGAAUUAAAACAUUCAAUAACAAAUGGAAAGUGAAAAGAUAGAAAACCUCCCCUUAAAAGUUUGAAUUCUUUUGUAAAAGUAGGAGAUGUUGCCAUCAAUCUCUUCUCUUCCAUUUUCUUCCUUUCAAUUUCUUCUGUCUCUUUCUAUUGUAAUCUCUCUUCCAAUUCUCUCUUUUCUUCAUCUUCCUUUCUUUCUUUCUCUUUUCUUAUUCUCUCAUUUUCUUCCUCCUCUUCUCUUCUCUAUUGCUCUCUCCUUUCUUCCUUAUCUCUUCUCUCUUUUUCUUCCUCUUCUCUUCUCUCUCUUGCUUCCUCUAUUCUUUCUUGCUCUCUCUUUAAUCUCUCUAUCCUAUAUUUGCUUGAUUCUUCCCAUUGCCUCGUAAGUUUAUUUAAAAACUUACUUUCUCUACGAGAGAAUCCACUUAAAUUUUGAAUGAACAACUUGCCUUCUCU
rnacentral:lncRNA from 1 species